CGCAAAUGAUGUGAAAGAAUAUUUGCUAACUGAGCAGCUGUGCUGACAACCACCAAGAUCACUGAUGCC
ensembl:snoRNA SNORD24 Small nucleolar RNA SNORD24